AUUAGUAUAUGCUAUGUUCUUGAAAAUUAAAAGAUUUGGCGGUAUUUUAGUCUAUUCAGAGGAACUUGUCCUGUAAUUGAUAAUCCACGAUUUAUUUUACUUUUAUUUUAAGCUUAUAUAUCGUCGUAUUUGAAAAUUUUUUAAAAAUUAUUAAUUUUCAAGAUUUUUUAUUAAAAUUUAAAUCAGAUCAAGAUGUAGUUUAUAUAAAAGGAGUGAUGAGUUACAUUAAUUAAAUUUGAAGAUUGAUUUUAGAAUAAUAUUAUGAAUAUGGAUUUGAUAGUAAUUUUAAUUAGAUAAUUAAGAUGAUUUUAGCUCUAAAAUAUGUACACAUCGCCCG
rnacentral:rRNA from 1 species